CGUGUAGGUGGUUAGAUAAGCCAGAUGUGAAAGCUUCCGGCUUAACCGGAAAACUGCAUUUGAAACUGUUUAGCUUGAGUGCGAGAGAGGGUAGCGGAAUUCCCAGUGUAGCGGUGAAAUGCGUAGAUAUUGGGAAGAACACCAGUAGCGAAGGCGGCUACCUGGCUCGCAACUGACGCUAAUGCGCGAAAGCGUGGGGAGCAAACA
rnacentral:rRNA from 1 species